AUUAGGGUGGCAGAGCCAAGUUUUAUGCAGGAGACCUAAGCCUUCCUAUUCAGAGGUGCAAAUCCUCUCCCUAAAC
rnacentral:tRNA from 1 species